rnacentral:rRNA from 1 species
UACGUAGGGUGCGAGCGUUAAUCGGAAUUACUGGGCGUAAAGCGUGCGCAGGCGGUUAUAUAAGACAGUUGUGAAAUCCCCGGGCUCAACCUGGGAAUUGCAUCUGUGACUGUAUAGCUAGAGUACGGUAGAGGGGGAUGGAAUUCCGCGUGUAGCAGUGAAAUGCGUAGAUAUGCGGAGGAACACCGAUGGCGAAGGCAAUCCUCUGGACCUGUACUGACGCUCAUGCACGAAAGCGUGGGGAGCAAACAGG